GAUGAACGCUGACAGAAUGCUUAACACAUGCAAGUCAACUUGAAUUUGGGUUUUUAACUUAGAUUUGGGUGGCGGACGGGUGAGUAACGCGUAAAGAACUUGCCUCACAGCUAGGGACAACAUUUAGAAAUGAAUGCUAAUACCUGAUAUUAUGAUUUUAAGGCAUCUUAGAAUUAUGAAAGCUAUAUGCACUGUGAGAGAGCUUUGCGUCCCAUUAGCUAGUUGGAGAGGUAACAGCUCACCAAGGCGAUGAUGGGUAGCCGGCCUGAGAGGGUGAACGGCCACAAGGGGACUGAGACACGGCCCUUACUCCUACGGGAGGCAGCAGUGGGGAAUAUUGGACAAUGGACCGAGAGUCUGAUCCAGCAAUUCUGUGUGCACGAUGAAGUUUUUCGGAAUGUAAAGUGCUUUCAGUUGGGAAGAAAUAAAUGACGGUACCAACAGAAGAAGUGACGGCUAAAUACGUGCCAGCAGCCGCGGUAAUACGUAUGUCACGAGCGUUAUCCGGAUUUAUUGGGCGUAAAGCGCGUCUAGGUGGUUAUGUAAGUCUGAUGUGAAAAUGCAGGGCUCAACUCUGUAUUGCGUUGGAAACUGUAUAACUAGAGUACUGGAGAGGUAAGCGGAACUACAAGUGUAGAGGUGAAAUUCGUAGAUAUUUGUAGGAAUGCCGAUGGGGAAGCCAGCUUACUGGACAGAUACUGACGCUAAGCGCGAAAGCGUGGGUAGCAAAAAAGG
rnacentral:rRNA from 1 species